GAUGAACGCUAGCUACAGGCUUAACACAUGCAAGUCGAGGGGAAACGACAUCGAAAGCUUGCUUUUGAUGGGCGUCGACCGGCGCACGGGUGAGUAACGCGUAUCCAACCUGCCCACCACUUGGGGAUAACCUUGCGAAAGUAAGACUAAUACCCAAUGAUAUCUCUAGAAGACAUCUGAAAGAGAUUAAAGAUUUAUCGGUGAUGGAUGGGGAUGCGUCUGAUUAGCUUGUUGGCGGGGUAACGGCCCACCAAGGCAACGAUCAGUAGGGGUUCUGAGAGGAAGGUCCCCCACAUUGGAACUGAGACACGGUCCAAACUCCUACGGGAGGCAGCAGUGAGGAAUACUGGUCAAUGGACGAGAGUCUGAACCAGCCAAGUAGCGUGCAGGGUGACGGCCCUAUGGGUUGUAAACUGCUUUUAUAAGGGAAUAAAGUGAGUCUCGUGAGGCUUUUUGCAUGUACCUUAUGAAUAAGGACCGGCUAAUUCCGUGCCAGCCGCCGCAGUAA
rnacentral:rRNA from 1 species